rnacentral:rRNA from 1 species
AUUGAACGCUGGCGGCAUGCCUUACACAUGCAAGUCGAACGGCAGCACGGGUGCUUGCACCUGGUGGCGAGUGGCGAACGGGUGAGUAAUAUAUCGGCAGGUACCUUAUUGUGGGGGAUAACGCAGCGAAAGCUGUGCUAAUACCGCAUAAUACCUACGGGGGUAAGCGGGGGACCGUAAGGCCUCGCGCAGUCAGAGCGGCCGAUAGCUGAGUAGCUAGUUGGUGAGGUAAAGGCUCACCGAGGCAACGAUCAGUAGCUGGUCUGAGAGGACGAUCAGCCACACUGGGACUGAGAAACGGCCCAGACUCCUACGGGAGGCAGCAGUGGGGAAUUUUGGACAAUGGGGGCAACCCUGAUCCAGCAAUGCCGCGUGAGUGAAGAAGGCCUUCGGGUUGUAAAGCUCUUUUGUCAGGGAAGAAACAGCAGCUCUAACACAGUUUGCGAAUGACGGUACCUGAAGAAUAAGCACCGGCUAACUACGUGCCAGCCGCCGCAGUAA